UACGGAGGGAGCUAGCGUUGUUCGGAAUUACUGGGCGUAAAGCGCACGUAGGCGGCUUUGUAAGUUAGAGGUGAAAGCCCGGGGCUCAACUCCGGAACUGCCUUUAAGACUGCAUCGCUUGAAUCCAGGAGAGGUGAGUGGAAUUCCGAGUGUAGAGGUGAAAUUCGUAGAUAUUCGGAAGAACACCAGUGGCGAAGGCGGCUCACUGGACUGGUAUUGACGCUGAGGCGCGAAAGCGUGGGGAGCGAACAGG
rnacentral:rRNA from 1 species